CGUUACAAACGUCACAUCUUUGAUAUUUUAUUUUUAAAUAAUUAUUUUACCUUAUUUUCUUUAAUAUUUCAUUAAUAAUUAUCUUCUUCUAAUUGGUUUACCCAUUUUCCCCUUUAAAAAUCGGUUGGCGCUCUCUUUUAUUACCCUCUUUUAUUAUCUUCUAUUUAAUAUAUCUCUUUCAUUUAAAUCAUCAUACUGAACAUACCUCGUAUAUUCAUACUCUCCAAAUAUCUGUAUUUUCAAUACGGAACAUGCCGCUACUUCAUAGUACUUGGUUGUCAUUUUAAAUGUCGUUUUCAAUGACAGUGUCACUUCAUCGACUUGACCCCCUACUCCCUGACAUACACUGGAAGGGAAAAAUUAAUCCUUAAAAAGGCAUGUAAUUCGAAAAAUAAAUCAUUUCUAUUUCAACAAAUUGUAACGAUGAGUGCCAUCGUUACGAUAUUAUUAUAUUUAUUCCUAUAAGCCACCUAAUAAGUAUGCAACCAGUUAUGCGUUCGUGCUUAGAACGGGUUACCUAGAUUUGUGACCAAAUAUAAUAGAAGGUUGGUACUACGCUUGGGGAAUUCUGGUCUUAGCUUGUGGCUGUACGGCUUCCGACGGAGGGGCAUGUCAUAUCGCCCAUCGGAGAGGAUUGUCACUUCAAUUUUCAAUCUGGUUGGAUGAACAAGUAAAUUUUUCCGUGGUCACUGUUUAAAGAAUACAAUAUUUAGUUAAAAUAUUCAUUUAUUAUAAGAUUGGUUUAUUUUGGAAGGAGCUAUUUUUUGUUUUGGGAUUUGUGCGGUGAGAGGAAGAGUUUUAUUUCCAAGUUUCCUUUUGGAAAACAGUGGCCACGGAAGAAAAUAAGAAGAUGGAAAAUUAAGUCAAUCAUACUUUAAUUUGUUUUUUUGGAAUACAUAAUCAUUUUGGGGAUAUUUUGGAUGGAAUGUGGAUGUUUUGUUUGGUUUUUGUGGAAUAAAAGUUGAGUUUUCCGAUACUGGGCAGCUACCUGCUUGCCGUACCUUCCUGUUGGUGUGGAGUACCUCCCUAGGGUUGGGAACCAGAGGAUACCUUAUUUGGCUCUCCCCUCAUCAUCUUCACCGAAGGUUGGAAGAAGCAAUCCGCCUACUUUUUGUAGGGACAGGUUUUUAUAUAACUAAAUUUGCAUGUCAAUUUGUUUUAAUAAUAACUUCCAAUUUUACUAUUUUUUUUCUCUUCGUAUCAAUAACUUUCAAAUCACUCUAAUAAUAAUAUACCCUCAUUGUUUUUUCUUAACCAUAAUUAACAUAAUAUUCAAUAUUUUUCAACAAUUUUUAUUAUAUUUCACCCUUAUUUAAUUUAUUUAAAAUAGCCUGGGAUUUAUAAACCAUAUGUAAGAUAAUGUGCACAGUAUCUAGGUCAUAUCCUAUUUAAUAAUAUUUAUUCCAGUUGUCGGAUGUUGUCACCUCCGAUUAGAUACGGUAUUGUCAACCAAUAUUGUAACCCUCAUUAAUAAUAAGUUGUUAAGGUAAAUACCUAUUCAUACUAAAUUCAUUACAUUUUUUUUUCUACUGUAAAACCUGCAUUAUCGACAGCAGUGUACUAGCCUAGUACGUCGGAUAAUUAGCUAGUGUAAAAAUUGUAUAUAGGGUAUAUAGGUUUUUUUUUAUUAAAUGUGGUUGUACAUACUUAUAUGUUUUAUUAUCCUACCAUUUUAAUAGUACCAUUUUAAUAGUAUCAGUUAGGUACAGCAAUAUAGGUCACGUGGAGAAGAAUUUAUAAAAUUCUUCCCUGGCGCUCAACACUACUUCUGAAUAUCUUCUUGGUCAGUAGUUCCCUUUCUUUUCAUUACUCCUUAUAUUCAUUUAUUUUCUUUAUCAUUCCAGUAUUUCAUUAGGUACCGUCUUACUAGGGCGUGCAAAUACGGCCUGAUCCUUCCCUGAGCCCUACUGUUUAGUCUCUUCAAUUUCCAGCUAGCCUAUUUUGAGGAAACUUCCAUAAAUAAGUAAUUAUCCUUUAAAGCUAUAUCUAUUCUGCCACAACAAAACCUCGUUUUUGUUACAAAAUCAUCUUCCUCUUGGGGUGAGCUACAUAUAGUUUUUUUUAAUAAUGUCUUACAGUAAUUAUAUUUCUCCAUCUAACAGUUUUUAUAUUGUUUUUUAUCUAACCUAACUUCCAAUGUCAGACCAUGUGUUCUGAUAUUUUAGUUUCAAAUAUAAUUAUCUUUUAAUUUACAUGUAUGCACGUUUAGUAAUCAGAAUUUUAACUAUUCUCAUCUAAAUUUCAUUUGAUUUAUUCUUGUCAUCUGCUACUCUUUCUGACGAUUAGAACGGCAGAUGGCACAAGUUGGUUUUUCUUCUUGAUGAUUGAUAUGUGUCUCUAUUUUAUAGUUUUUUGGAAAGAAACCACUUUUCUCCCUCCGGGAGUUUCAACAACCCUCAAAUCGCCGGCGAUACAACAACGAGGACCAUGUCAUCAGGGCUGCAACCACAUAACCAAGACUGCAAUGACCAACAUCCGUAGGCCUGGUGGAAUACAACACCUACAACCCCAGAGCCCGUUGCAGAACCAGCAGCAGUACCAUACGACAUCAAGAAGAUACCAUCAGCUACCAAAAGCCAUAAGUAUAAUCCAGAAUUGUUAGUUUUUGGCAAGAAUUUAAAUACAUUUGUUAAUGCAAUUUACUAAGUCAUUUUAUUUAUUAUAUCUUUAUGAACAAUAAACAUGAUUAGUUAAAAACUA
rnacentral:lncRNA from 1 species